rnacentral:rRNA from 1 species
GACGAAGGGGGCAAGCGUUGUUCGGAAUUACUGGGCGUAAAGCGCGUGUAGGUGGUUGUCCUAGUCAGGUGUGAAAGCCUUGAGCUCAACUCAAGAAAUGCACUUGAUACUGGGCAGCUAGAGGACCGGAGAGGAUAGUGGAAUUCCCAGUGUAGUGGUGAAAUACGUAGAGAUUGGGAAGAACACCAGUGGCGAAGGCGGCUAUCUGGACGGUUUCUGACACUAAGACUCGAAAGCGUGGGGAGCAAACAGG